rnacentral:rRNA from 1 species
GACGAACGCUGGCGGCGUGCUUAACACAUGCAAGUCAAACGGAAAGGCCCUGCUUUUGUGGGUUUCUCGAGUGGCGAACGUGUGAGUAACACGUGAGUAACCUGCCCUUGACUUUGGGAUAACUUCAGGAAACUGGGGCUAAUACCGGAUAGGAUCUCCUGCUGCAUUGUGGGGUUUGGAUAGUUUCGGCGGUUGGGGAUGGACUCGCGGCUUAUCAGCUUGUUGGUGGGGUAGUGGCUUACCAAGGCUUUGACGGGUAGCCGGCCUGAGAGGGUGACCGGGAACAUUGGGACUGAGAGACGGCACAGAAUGGAACGGGAGGCAGCAGUGGGGAAUAUAGCAAAAUGGGAGGAAGCAUGAUGCAGAAACGCAGCGAGCGGGAUGAAGGCCUUCGGGUUGUAAACAGAUUUAGCAUGUGACGAAGCGUGAGUGACGGUAAUGGGUAAAGAAGCACCGGCUAACUACGUG